rnacentral:rRNA from 1 species
CCUACGGGAGGCUGCAGUGAGGAAUAUUGGUCAAUGGCCGGAAGUCUGAACCAGCCAAGCCGCGUGAAGGACGAAGGUGCCAAGCGUUGUAAACUUCUUUUGUCAGGGAACAAAAUCAGGCUCGAGAGCCUGACCGAGGGUACUUGAAGAAAAAGCAUCGGCUAACUCCGUGCCAGCAGCCGCGGUAAUACGGAGGAUGCGAGCGUUAUCCGGAUUUAUUGGGUUUAAAGGGUGCGUAGGCGGACUGUUAAGUCAGCGGGAAAAGCCGGGGGCAAAACCCCGGCGAGCCGUUGAAACUGGCUGUCUUGAGAUGUGGAGAGGUAGGCGGAAUGCGCAGUGUAGCGGUGAAAUGCUUAGAUAUUGCGCAGAACUCCGAUUGCGAAGGCAGCAUACCGGCGGCGAUCUGACGCUGAGGCACGAAAGCGUGGGUAUCGAACAGGAUUAGAUACCCCAGUAGUC